GUGCAGUAAUCCGGUCUUUCUAGACCAGUGAUUGUAAAUGUGUUUUUAUAUGUGUAGCCAAAGGAAUACAUGCAAGCCAGGCAGAGUAAGUAUUGUCUUUAUUUAAGAGUAUAUGUAGUAGAAACUUGUUUAUGAAAAUUUCAGUGGUGAUACAUUUUGAUCUUUAUUGUCCAAAGCUUUUGCCCCAUGAAGUUGCUUGGUUUGCUACGUUUUUUACAGCUUUUUCACCAGUUUCAGCGACUUUGUAGACUUCAUCAAGUGCUUUUAAAAGAGAAAAAACAAAGGUGACUGUAGCAUCAUUGCAAUAGCUACCCCUUUCCCACCAGGUGUGGGACAAGGAGCAAGGUAGGGUUGAGGACCCUGUCUGGGUCAUGACAUUUCGAAAUAAACACAAACAUUACCAUACCUUUCUGACCAGCAGCCUUAGCCUGUUCUGCUGCUUGCUGCACAGUCUGGUUCACAGUGUCAACUGCAGCUUGUGCAGCACUUUCAGCUUGUUGCACAGCUUCCCCAGCGAGCUUCUUCCCAAUCCCGAACAUGGCUGUGCUCAGUCCUCUCUCCCUGGAUGAGACGGGCGAGUAAAUCCCUAAGUUCGGUUCUGUUACACUGUUUGGCAAAGUGCAGCUUUUUAUAGACAAAGCAGGACUCCUCCCAGCAGUUAGAGGGCAAAUGCAAACUGGAGCUGGGAAAAGUCAUGAGCCCUUGUUGGGUGAUUAAUAUACCAGGCAUAAAAGGGUGAAGAGACAUUAAUGUUUGUUAUGAUUUCCUCCCCAGAGAGAGGGCGUGGAUUCAUCGGCAGAAGUUUUCCAUAGCCCAGGAAUGAAAGCUUUGUUUUUCCAUAUCGGGGAGUUGGUAAACAGUGUGCAUGCCACAGCUGUCCUGCCCAAAGGCUCCAGUGCCGCAGGGGGAUAAUGCAGGCUGGCACAGCCCGUCGUGAACCAGGCAGAAAAACAUUGCAUUGCAAAACACUCCGCUGAAGAAUUGCUCAAAUCAACUCUGUCAUUUCAAAACCUUACAUAGAAAAGUAUCCAGUUUCAGAUGAUUGUUGCCCACAUUCUUUUGAUUCCCAGUGGGACUUAAAAUUCAUGGUUAAAAAAAGAAAUGGGAGGC
rnacentral:lncRNA from 1 species